rnacentral:rRNA from 1 species
CCUACGGGAGGCAGCAGUGAGGAAUAUUGGUCAAUGGACGAGAGUCUGAACCAGCCAAGUAGCGUGAAUGAUGACUGCCCUAUGGGUUGUAAACUUCUUUUAUAUGGGAAUAAAAUGUUCCACGUGUGGGAUUUUGUAUGUACCAUAUGAAUAAGGAUCGGCCAACUUCGUGCCAGCAGCCGCGGUAAUACGGAGGAUCCGAGCGUUAUCCGGAUUUACUGGGCUUAAAGGGAGCGUAGGUGGAUUGUUAAGUCAGUUGUGAAAGUUUGGGGCUCAACGGUAGAAUUGCAGUUGAAACUGGCAGUCUUGAGUACAGGAGAGGUGGGCGGAAUUCGAGGUGUAGCGGUGAAAUGCGUAGAUAUCACGAAGAACUCCGAUUGCGAAGGCAGUUCACUGGACUGCAACUGACACUGAGGCGCGAAAGUGUGGGUAUCAAACAGGAUUAGAUACCCCUGUAGUC